UUUUUCUUCUUUGGUUGCUUUAAAAUAA
rnacentral:sRNA from 1 species